UUAGGUGAUGUUUAUAUAUUCAAUAUUGUAAGCCUAAAUUUAUAAUUUUGGAAAUUGAUCAAGUGGGGGUUUUAAGAAAGUGCUUUGAGAAGUGUAAAGUUUAGGUCACUUUGGUGAUCAAUGUUGUCUAGCUGGAGUUCGGAACUUAAAAAAGAAGGUCGAAAGGUUGGAGUCAAAUUCGAUAGAUCAACCAACUCAUAAAAGAUGGUGUUGAUUGUUGAAUGCUUUAGACAAUUUCUGAAGGACAACGAUUUCAGAGUUAGGCCGCAUGUUUUAGGCGUUCAACUCCCAAGCGGCAAAAUCUAGGUGAAAAGGUCUAGGUGUGUCAUUUUCAAUGCGACAAGCACCGAGCAAUGUAGUCUAGCCACCCAAAUUACAAAGCGAUUAAAGUAUCAGGUGUUCAAGUUUAUGUUCAAGCUUCAUGGUCUUAGCGUCCAGAUUCAGGCGCCUGAUUCUAAUCUUAACGCAUUGUUUACGAUACCAGUUAUAAUAAAAUCUAAGUGCCUC